ACGAACGCUGGCGGCGUGCUUAACACAUGCAAGUCGCACGGAAAGGCCCUGCUUUUGUGGGGUGCUCGAGUGGCGAACGGGUGAGUAACACGUGAGUAACCUGCCCUUGACUUUGGGAUAACUUCAGGAAACUGGGGCUAAUACCGGAUAGGAGCUCCUGCCUCAUGGUGGGGGUUGGAAAGUUUCGGCGGUUGGGGAUGGACUCGCGGCUUAUCAGCUUGUUGGUGGGGUAGUGGCUUACCAAGGCUUUGACGGGUAGCCGGCCUGAGAGGGUGACCGGCCACAUUGGGACUGAGAUACGGCCCAGACUCCUACGGGAGGCAGCAGUGGGGAAUAUUGCACAAUGGGCGGAAGCCUGAUGCAGCAACGCCGCGUGCGGGAUGACGGCCUUCGGGUUGUAAACCGCUUUCGCCUGUGACGAAGCGUGAGUGACGGUAAUGGGUAAAGAAGCACCGGCUAACUACGUG
rnacentral:rRNA from 1 species